GACGAACGCUGGCGGCGUGCUUAACACAUGCAAGUCGAACGGAAAGGCCCUGCUUUUGUGGGGUGCUCAAGUGGCGAACGGGUGAGUAACACGUGAGUAACCUGCCCUUGACUUUGGGAUAACUUCGGGAAACUGGGGCUAAUACCGGAUAGGAGCUCCUGCUGCAUGGUGGGGGUUGGAAAGCUUCGGCGGUUGGGGAUGGACUCGCGGCUUAUCAGCUUGUUGGUGGGGUAGUGGCUUACCAAGGCUUUGACGGGUAGCCGGCCUGAGAGGGUGACCGGCCACAUUGGGUCUGAGAUACGGCCCAGACUCCUACGGGAGGCAGCAGUGGGGAAUAUUGCACAAUGGGCGGAAGCCUGAUGCAGCAACGCCGCGUGCGGGAUGACGGCCUUCGGGUUGUAAACCGCUUUCGCCUGUGACGAAGCGUGAGUGACGGUAAUGGGUAAAGAAGCACCGGCUAACUACGUG
rnacentral:rRNA from 1 species